AUGAACGCUGGCGGCGUGCCUAAUCCAUGCAAGUCGAGCGAACGGACGAGAAGCUUGCUUCUCUGAUGUUAGCGGCGGCCGGGUGAGUAACACGUGGAUAACCUACCUAUAAGACUGGGAUAACUUCGGGAAACCGUAGCUAAUACCGGAUAAUAUUUUGAACCGCAUGGUUCAAAAGUGAAAGACGGUCUUGCUGUCACUUAUAGAUGGAUCCGCGCUGCAUUAGCUAGUUGGUAAGGUAACGGCUUACCAAGGCAACGAUGCAUAGCCGACCUGAGAGGGUGAUCGGCCACAUUGGAACUGAGACACGGUCCAGACUCCUACGGGAGGCAGCAGUAGGGAAUCUUCCGCAAUGGGCGAAAGCCUGACGGAGCAACGCCGCGUGAGUGAUGAAGGUCUUCGGAUCGUAAAACUCUGUUAUUAGGGAAGAACAUAUGUGUAAGUAACUGUGCACAUCUUGACGGUACCUAAUCAGAAAGCCACGGCUAACUACGUG
rnacentral:rRNA from 1 species